rnacentral:rRNA from 1 species
UACGUAGGCAGCAAGCGUUGUUCGGAGUUACUGGGCGUAAAGGGUGUGUAGGCGGUUGUUUAAGUUUGGUGUGAAAUCUCCCGGCUCAACUGGGAGGGUGCGCCGAAUACUGAAUGACUAGAGUGCGGGAGAGGAAAGUGGAAUUCCUGGUGUAGCGGUGAAAUGCGUAGAUAUCAGGAGGAACACCGGUGGUGUAGACGGCUUUCUGGACCGUAACUGACGCUGAGACGCGAAAGCGUGGGGAGCGAACAGG